rnacentral:rRNA from 1 species
AUGGUGAUUAAAGCUCAGCAAAAUGGCUUGUUCAAAGGGUUAGCAUCUGAUUUGAUCCCAAAUGGGGUGGCUAUCUUGCAAUAUGCAGAUGACAUGAUCCUAUGCUUCGAGGAUAAUCUUAGAAAUGCUCUUAAUAUUAAGCUGCUGUUAUAUCUUUUUGAAGUCAUCUCUGGGUUGAAAAUCAAUUUUCUAAAGAGUGAAAUAUUUUCGAUACGUGCUGAUGAUACUACUAUGCAAAAAUAUGCUGCGAUGUUUAUCUGCCAGAUAGGUAACUUUCCUAUCAAAUACCUAGGCAUGCCUGUGAGCUAUGCUGGUUUGAAGUGUAGUGACUGGGCCUUUGUAGAUGACAAAUUCAUU